rnacentral:lncRNA from 1 species
UAUAAUCCAACCACACUUGAAAUAAAUAAAAUAAAAAUAAAAGCAAUUCUCAAUUGCUGCCUCUUCAAAUGCAAUUCUUUAUUCAAGAAACAAAAAGCAGACUUUAAUAUUUUAUGGGAAGUGAAAUAAAUAUUUAAAAAGGAAAGUUGCCAUAGAUUACAUCAACCGGGCUUAGUACACCCCACGCCGAGUCAGUCUCCUCCUUCCGAUGGUGUUUGGUGCUCGGGAUCUAUGAUCGGUAUGUUGAUUUUCCUACUAUAGCAAAAUCCACUCAAUGACUUAAUCUUGAUCAAGCCUCUUAGCUUGAAUUUAAAGAGAUGAGAGAUGAAUAUGAAGAUAGAGGGAGAGAUCUACUAGCAAAAGGUACCACAUCUUUGCCACCCAUAAAGAACAGAAGUGAUGCACACCAAAACAUGGUGCAACAUGGAGAGAGAUAAAAAUUGGUGCAACUUGGAGAGAGAUAAAAAUUGGGGCAUGCCUAUCUUUGGUAAUCCAAAACCCUUUCCAGAGAAAACUAAAUUUUAGGGUAGGGAGAGAGAAUUCUUAAAGAGAGAGAACAUAAUACGUAUCUCAUUUUAUGAGGGGAGACCUCAUUUUAUAAAUUUUCUAUGUCAUAGAUUUUACCUCAAUUCGUAGGGUCAAAUCUCAACUGUCGAUUGAAGGAGAUUGUGACGUGAGAGAUUUGAGCCAUCAGUCUCUUUGAUCCACCAUCAAGAUUCAAAAAGAUGAGCUAGAGCCUUCUCCUCCCUUUCCUAAAUCUAUUCCCAUCAAAUAAUGAAAACUUAUAUUUUAAUAUAUCCAAUCCUUAAUUAUUAGAUCAACCAAUCUUGAUUCAAAGAUUUAGUAAAUAUCUCAAAUAUUCAAAUUUAUCAUAUAAGUCGGCUAUACCUAAAAAGAUAAGCCAACCAAGAAGAUAAACAUUAUUCCCAAGUGUGCCACCCUUUUGAUGGCUGUGGCCCUACCUAAUCCACAUCAUCUUUUUAAAUUUUGAGCCUCAUAUUUUAUGGAGGUUCCAAAUACUUUUAGAAAAAAAAUUUAUUUCAUAUUUAGAAUUUUUAAAAUUUAUAUUUUAUUUAAAACAUUGAAAAAUUAAUUUCUCUUAAUUUAUAAAUUCAAAUGAUAAAUAAAAUAUCAGAACAUUCACAAAAAUUCAAAUAAACAUUCUAAAAAUCACAUAACAUAAAAUUAAUUAAUUUUGAUGGGAAUCAGAUCCGUUAGAUCUAGGAAAUUAUCAAUACAUGGGAGUACUCCACCUUCAACUGCGAAUCACGAUCCGCAUAGCUUUCUCAAACUGACCCAGCAGUUCCCAUGAGCCACAAUCCACUGCAGGAGUUCAUGAUUGGACCACCAAAGUAAGCCAAUAGACUAAGGGACGCAAUCCCAGUUUAGGGAUUUCAGGUUCUCCCCUAGAGACAAAAAUCAUAGUCCUCCAGAGCAUGAUGCAACCAUGACUCUAUGGUGCAUAGGGGUAAUCUCUUGCACAUGUCUACGCUUCACCCUCAUUGGUGAAUCUCAAAACGGCUAUUUAUGUACAUGCCGUGUGAUGAUCUAACGAUGAGGUUUUAGUCAUGUCUCUAAAGGCUAUUCAUCACACGCAAUGGCCACACAGUCCCUUGGCUCUCAUCUGGGCAUACUCCGACCUCAUCAAGGGAUAACCCACUAAACCCUUCUUGAUAAAUCCCUAUGCCCAAGUCUCUUUGGUUUUUUCAAACCUCGGCUGGCCUAGCUCGUCCCGCGUAGUCCGAGUAUCAGCAAAUAACAUUUGCCUAGUAUGGUCCAUAAAAGGACCACACUCUUACUGAGUUAUGUUCCACUAUAUAAAAUGCUCAUACAAGCUCUCAUAAGGCCUUUAACGGCCAUAUAAACCCAACAUCUUUCACUUGGCCUUUGAAGGCUUUACAUUCUCUCUUCCUCACUUUCUCUCAUCCCCAUCUGUCUCUCCCAAUAACAAUAUCUCUCAAUACAUUAAUCAUGGCUUUCGCCAUCAAUCCUUUCACAAAAAGACUCAUAGAGGCAGCGCCUCUUUCUCUUUGUUGCUCGGAUCUCAUCCUGAAAGUGGUCGUGGUCCAUUUUUCAUAUCGCAUCGGGAAUCAUGGACCUGCUGUCACAGAAAAUCAUCACGUAUCCUCAUUGCAUGAGAUCGUAUCUUCAUUGGCUUAAAGGAGUUCUUCAAACAAGCCGCUUCUUUUUGUAGCCAUACAACCAGCGGCACACAUCUGGGUUCAAUGGGUGAAAAAAUCAUAGUCUGUUGUUCCAGCUGGUCUGUCAAACACUAAGUGCUCCCACUGGAAUAUUUAAUUUAAUAUGCUUGGAGUCUUUAAUUAUUAUGGAAUCCUGGCUCCCAUUUAUAGGCAUAUCGCCACCGUGUUGUCGCAGAAAAUCUCAUUGCCUCAUAAUGCACGAGUUAAAAGUCAAGUCGAUUCAAAAAUUUCUUAAUCCAUACGGCCUCCUUGGCCGCCAAAUAGUACGCCAUAUAUUCUGCCUCUAGAAUAGACAAUAUUACCGCAUCUUGUUUCUUUGAUUUCCAAAAAGCUGUUCUCCCUCUAAGCAUGAACACGUAUCCAGAUGUAUACUUCACAUUAUCUGAAUCUUUGAGAUAGCUUACAUUUGUAUAUCUGAAUAUCCAAGCAGUUAAAAAAAAAUGUGGGACUGUAGCAGCUCCCACUCAAUUGUUGCACAUACAAUUUAUACAUUCUCAACAUUCUUAUAUCUAUAUCAUGAGGUAGCAUAGCAAGUCUCAUGCAAUAAGUAAUUCAAUGCCCAUUGGUUUCACAAUAUGUAAAACCUUUAUAAACCACAAAGGUUCAACCACACUAGUCAUCUUGAUAGUAAAUCCAUACUAACCAAGUUAUUUAAUCAAUAUAACAUGUGUCCAGGAAGCCUAGCAAGAUAGCCUUCCGACAACAUUCCAUAUGGUUUAAGGUUUUAGGUAAUUGAAGAUUCUAAAUAACUACAAACAUGAGUCAAGGCAUAUGGGUAUUUAAAAACCUAUGCAUGACAGUUUUUCUCCCAAUUUUAUAAAUACCUUGAAGACAUAAUGGUUUUCUUCCUUUUAAAAAAAAUUGACUUGGUAUAUACAAGCAAUGGUUAGAUAAUAGUAUAACAGUAUAAAAUGAUUUUUCAUAAAGAAUUAAUGGAUCUAACAUGACUAUUGGGUUUUCUCAAAACAUCCAAUUUAAUAUUAAAAUAUAUGUUUAGUCUUCAAACAUCAUUUUCCCGCAUUCACCUACCAAGUCAUGUUUACAGCUACAAAAACAAGUUAUAGAGUCCAUAUUACAAUUAUAUCUAAAACAAGCAUGACUAAAUAAUAGUUAUCAAAAUCUUAACAAAAAUUUCUUUUUGGCAAAUAUGUAGACUUUAUGAAGAGAUCAUCAUCACAUGCAACACAUCAUAUUACUGGACAUUAUCGAGAGGAUGGUCAUUAAGACCGAGUUCUAUCAGAACACUCCCUUCGUGCUUACAUAUUUGAAUGAGUCAUACUCAUAUCUUGUGUUUCAUACUUAUGACUCAAAGCCAUUGAUCAAAUCACAUCUCCAUGUGUAUCACGACUUUAAGUAGUUCGUACUCUUAGCACAAGGAGGCACCAUAACACAUGGUAUUCAUAAACAGACUCUUUCAAAUUUGUUAGCACAUAUCACUCAAAGUCCAUAUAUUCCAUACAUAUUCACAAAACCAUUAGCCAAAAUAUAACCAAAGUAUAUAAAUUUUUUUUUUAUUGAAUUCUCUUUCCCUAUAUGACAUUUCUAUGUAAUGUGAGAUAGAUUUCAUACCUCAAAAUCAUGUAGCGUGGUACCUGAGCUUUCUUGAUUCAUUGCUUUUAUUUGUUUGAUAAACUUUUGUGAUCUUGAAAGAGCACACAACCGAUGGAGAAUAUAUUGGUCAUCGGUUUCACAUGUCACGAAGUGUGCAUCUCUUCAGCACUUGGAUUCUCCCUUUCUCACACCAUGAAGAAAAAUCUUCUUCAUCCCAUCAUUUCAAAUAUCACAAAUUUGAUUCUUCCACUAAUCUUUUGCUUUUCUUUGCUACCUCCAAGUCUCUCUAUGUAUCCCUUAAUUUCUAAGAAACUAAAAUGUUGUUAUAGGUAUUGUGUUUCUUCUUCUUUUUGUUGUUCCCAGAUCAAACACUCUUCAUAUAGUGUGUAGUACCUUACCAGCUCCAUAUUACCUCUCUAUGAAGUUUUAUUAUAAUAAAUCAUACGUAUGACACACUAUAAAACCACUUUAUUGAGCCCUAAAACGGUCUUCAUUAUUGAGAAUCCAAAGAUGUACCUUAACAUACCACAUCUUUUAAUUUAUUACAUAAUAGAACGUGAGCAUCCCAUGAUAAAAUAUGAUAUCUCUCAACUUAUAAAGAGUUUCUCUCCGAAUCCUUUAGAGUACAGAAAUAGACUCAAAAUUUAUAAAAUAGUGAUCAGUUCUAUCCCUCAAUCACACCAUUUAGUGAAUCUACCUUUUGGUGACUUUUUACAUCACAUUACAAUUUUCCGCUGAGUAUCUCUCAAUAAAAAAAUGUUUCUCUUAAACCUCAAAGAAUUUCUUCUUGAAAUCUCGUGUUGAAAACUAAACUCGAAACCAAAUCAUAACAUUAUGGUGUGAAUGCCAAAUAAUAUCUUCCUUCAGAUAAAUAAAUAAGGUGACAUACACUUCACAAAAUAACUCAUAUUGCAGAAUUCUAAGAUGAACAUUGUUCAGUAAAAUUGUAUUUUAUCUCUAUCAUUGUGGAGUUUUCCUUUCAAACUAAUUUUGUUUAAAAGUAAACACAUAAUGGUGGCACAUAUAUUUCCAUAAGCUUCAUAUCACUCUGUUAAGUAUGCUUGAUAAUUAUAGUUUUUUACGUCUCAAUGAAAAGCGCACCAUAAUUAUAAAAAAUUCAAGAUGACCUCUCUUCAAUCCAAAAUUUUUAUUCCUCUCUUUCUAAAGAUAUUUCUCUUUCAAAUAAAUUUCAUUAGAGACUAGACUCAAAAUUGAAAUUUAAAAACUUAGUGUAAGCCAUAAAACAUUCUGUUAAAAAUAGAAAUAAAAUCUUGACUUCCAAGUCAUGGAAAUAAUUUUUGUUGCAGAAAACAACACUUGCG